rnacentral:lncRNA from 1 species
UGCCACUUCAUAGUUGUCUGAGCUUCUUGCUGUUAUUCUAAGGUUUCAUUUCCUCAUUAUAAAAUGGAAAAUAAUCCCCAUAUCAAUGGGUUGUGGCGAAGAUUCCAUGAGGUGAUUCCCUUAAGAUGUUUGACACAGAGAAGAUCUCCAACAACAAACUCCAGGGCCAUUUCUCUCCCUCCUCACUCAUCCUUGCUUCCUUUCUCCGCCCGACCUCAUGGCUGGCCAGGCAGGGCUGCCGUGAACAUCUAAAGAGUGGCCAGAUGAAAUAUUCCAACUGAGCUCCACUUCACAGGACUCUGCACUCCAUGGAUCAGCUGACACCACCCAGACCAGUAAUGUGGCUCAACCAAUUCUGCCAUUCCACCCAGGAACAUAGACAGCAAGAAAAACUCACUUCGACCCCUCUAUGAUUCCAUCUCCAACCUGACCAAUCAUCACUCCUCGCUUCCUGAGCCCCUACCUGCCAAAUUAUCUUUAAAAACUCUGAUCCCUGAAUGCUUCAGGAGACUGAUUUCAGUAAUAAUAAAACUCUCAUUCCU